rnacentral:rRNA from 1 species
UAGGGAAUCUUCCGCAAUGGACGCAAGUCUGACGGAGCAACGCCGCGUGAGUGAAGAAGGAUUUCGGUUCGUAAAACUCUGUUGUUAGAGAAGAACAGCGCAUAGAGUAACUGUUAUGCGUGUGACGGUAUCUAACCAGAAAGCCACGGCUAACUACGUGCCAGCAGCCGCGGUAAUACGUAGGUGGCAAGCGUUGUCCGGAUGUAUUGGGCGUAAAGCGAGCGCAGGCGGUCAAUUAAGUCUGAUGUGAAAGCCCCCGGCUCAACCGGGGAGGGUCAUUGGAAACUGGUUGACUUGAGUGCAGAAGAGGAGAGUGGAAUUCCAUGUGUAGCGGUGUAAUGCGUAGAUAUAUGGAGGAACACCAGUGGCGAAGGCGACUCUCUGGUCUGUAACUGACGCUGAGGUUCGAAAGCGUGGGUAGCAAACAGG